ensembl:lncRNA
CAGCACCUCUGGCCAUCUCUGCUCCUCCCCCUGUGGUCCUCUCCCUCCCUGUGGUGCCCUUCUGACCCUCUCCUCCUCCCCUCUCUGCCCCUUCCUGUGCCUUUGACUGCAUCCCUUUAUCCCUAGGGACAGAGCAGGCUCCUUCCUUUCUGUCCUUGAGAGACCUCAAGGCAGGGUGUGUCUGAGGGUCUCCUGAUAGAGGCCCUGGUGAAAGCCCAUUCCUCUUCCUACCCAAAGAGGCCUCUUUCUGGAUCAUCGCCUACACAUCAAGUGGCUGCCCCUUCUAUGAGCCUAACAGUGCAGAACCAGCACCACAGGGACUCGUGACUGCCCUCUAUCCAGGAGCUCACCCCAAAGCAGAGAGGAGAAGGAUCCUGCAACCAAUUAUCGAAAAUGAAUGCAGACAUUGAAAUGCACAGUGAAGAGUCCAAUAUCACCAAGAGAAGUUGAUGAGAUGGCAGAGAAGCAAGCAGCAGGUGUGUUCUCCAAGGGGAGAAAUGCAGUAGCCCAGGCAGCAGUUGCCGAUUCUGAAAUCCAGGAGGAAGAGGAGCCCCAGGGAGCUGCUGCAAACCCUGGCCCAGCACCUAGGCAGACGCCUGAUGUGUUUCCUUACCACCCCAAAUAUUCAUGGGGCCCAAGAAAAAAGGAGAAAGUAUGACCAGAAAGGCAGGCUGAUCUGUAAUGGUAUCGAUCUGUGUGACUGCCUGCAGGUUGAUUGUGCUGGCUGCUUCUAUCCAUGCCCCAGGUGCAACUCCAGGAAAUGUGGAGUCAAGUGCCGCCAGAAUCGCAAGUGGGUUUAUAACAAGGUGGAGGAUGAAUCUGGCGAGUGGUCAAGUGAUUUCCCUUUGCAUUUCCUGAAUAAGGUCCUGGCGACACUGGCUCCCCUUUCUGUGAGGAUUGAGCUGGCUUUUUAAAAAAAAUGAGCUUUAGGCCUUAGGCAAAGAGUUGAAAUGGACCUAGUGUCAAUUGAUCAUUCCGGCUUUGGGGACCAAUGCCAUCCUCCCCAAAGGAUUCCAUCAUUUUAGGAUUUGUUUUUGGUGUGGAAAAGAGAGUAAGUCUUUCUUGCCCUGCCAUCUUUCCACCUUCAGUGACUUCAGAUAUGUCUUUAAAGUUUGAAAAAAGAAAGAUGGCAGGGCAAGAAAGACUUACUCUCUUUUCCACACCGAAAACAAAUCCUAAAAUGAUGGAAUCCUUUGGGGAGGAUGGCAUUGGUCCCCAAAGCCGGAAUGAUCAAUUGACAUUUCAACUCUUUGCCCAAGGCCUAAAACUCAUUUUUUUUAAAAGCCAGCUCAAUCCUCAACAGAAAGGGGAGCCCAGUGUCGCCAGGACCUUAUUCAGGAAAUGCAAAGGGAAAUGCAUUGACCACCUUGCCAGAUUCAUCCUCCACAUUGUUAUAAACCCACUUGCAAUUCUGGCGGCACUUGACUCCACAUUUCCUGGAGUUGCACCUGGGGCAUGGAUAGAAGCAGCCAGCACAAUCAACCUGCAGGCAGUCACACAGAUCGAUACCAUUACAGAUCAGCCUGCCUUUCUGGUCAUACUUUCUCCUUUUUUUCUUGGGCCCCAUUGAUAUUUGGGGGUGGUAAGGAAACACAUCAGGCGUCUGCCUAGGUGCUGGGCCAGGGUUUGCAGCAGCUCCCUGGGGCUCCUCUUCCUCCUGGAUUUCAGAAUCGGCAACUGCUGCCUGGGCUACUGCAUUUCUCCCCUUGGAGAACACACCUGCUGCUUGCUUCUCUGCCAUCUCAUCAACUUUCUCUUGGGUGAUAUUGGACUCUUCACUGUGCAUUUCAAUGUCUGCAUUCAUUUUCGAUAAUUGGUUGCAGGAUCCUUCUCCUCUCUGCUUUGGGGUGAGCUCCUGGAUCUUAAGAAUGAUAGCACAGAACACAUCAUCACUAAAAGCAUACGAGUGUGACGGCAAAGCUGAUUCAGAGGAUGCUAAUGCCACAAACUUUGGAAAAACAACAUUUGAAAGAUUAUUUUAAUUUUUAAAACAUUGCUAUGUCUCCUGUGAAAAUUCAACAUAACCAUCAUCAUGAGCUGGACAUUAGUUGAUUUUCAAACUUCCUAAAAACUCUCAUCAGCUGAUGAUCAAUGAUUGAAAAGACACCACGUGCAAUUCUAGCCUGAAGAUAAUGUAAAGAGCAAAGUUUUGAUGCGUAUAGGACAGCUUUCACAUGGCCCCAGAAGAAAAAAAUCGCUAGUAGAGAUAGAUCAGUUAAUCAAGGUGG